AAUCAUUUGUCUUUUAAAUAAAGACUAGUAUGAAUGGCAUCACGAGGACUUAACUGUCUCCCUAAUUUAAUCAGUGAAACUGAUCUUCCUGUGAAAAAGCAGGAAUAACUAAAUAAGACGAGAAGACCCUAUGGAGCUUAAAAUCUAAAUCUACCUGUAUUUUCUGAUAAUAAAUAUAUCACUAAUUUAUAGGCCUAGAUUAAGUUUUUGGUUGGGGCGACAAUGGAGAAAAAUUUAUCCUCCAUGAAGAAAAACCUUUGAGUUACCACUCUUAGUAUUAGCAAGCCUAACUUAAAUUGAUCCAAAUUUUUUGAUCAACGGAACAAGUUACCCUAGGGAUAACAGCGCAAUCCAUUUCAAGAGUUCCUAUCGACAAAUGGGUUUACGACCUCGAUGUUGGAUUAGGACAUCCUAGUGGUGCAGCCGCUACUAAGGGUUCGUUUGUUCAACGAUUAAAGUCCU
rnacentral:rRNA from 1 species